CCUACGGGUGGCAGCAGUGGGGAAUAUUGCACAAUGGGGGAAACCCUGAUGCAGCGAAGCCGCGUGAGUGAAGAAGGAUUUCGGUAUGUAAAGCUCUAUCAGCAGGGAAGAAAAUGACGGUACGUGUCUAAGAAGCCCCGGCUAACUACGUGACAGCAGCCGCGGUAAUACGUAGGGGGCAAGCGUUAUCCGGAUUUACUGGGUAUAAAGGGUGCGUAGGUGGCAGGGGAAGUCAGGUGUGAAAGCCCGGGGCUCAACCCCGGUACUGCAGUUGAAACUGUCCAGCUGGAGUGCAGGAGAGGUAAGCGGAAUUCCUAGUGUAGCGGUGAAAUGCGUAGAUAUUAGGAGGAACACCAGUUGCGAAGGCAGCUUACUGGACUGUAACUGACACUGAGGCACGAAAGCGUGGGGAUCAAACAGGAUUAGAUACCCGUGUAGUC
rnacentral:rRNA from 1 species